rnacentral:lncRNA from 1 species
UACACCCAUAAAGAGAUCCAGAGUAACUAGUUCAAUGGCCUACUAGUUUACAAGUCUUCAACAAGGUCAGACAUUGUAGCUUUGGUGGAAUGGAAGGUCCAAUGGCAGAAUGCUGCUAGUUGAAGAGUGGUCUAGAAGGAUGAAUGAACAGUAACUCCUGGAAAGUUUGAGAAAAAAAUGAACUAAGUAAGGAAGAGGGACCAGGAAGCUUUAAGAAUGGCAAGUGCCUGGGCAUUGCUGGGAGAUGAACCAGUUUGAUCCAGAAGAAGAUCUAGGUAUGAAAGUGAAGGGAUUGUUAAGACCGGAUAUGGACUUGCUAUUUUGUUCUUCUAUGACCUCUCACACUUGCAAUUGGUAAGUAACUGAAGGUGACACAGUAGUGACCAGUUUUGUAAGAUUAGGUCACAGAGUUUUGAUCUCACCUUACUUAUUCAGUUAUAGACUGAAGGCAUCUCACAUGUUAUUGAUACUCUUUGCUCAAGAUACAUGUGAAACAGUAGCAACAAAGUAAGAAUAGUACUGCAUCUGAGGCAUGGAAGCUCCUAACUACAAAGCUGUGAUAUUUCUGUUUUUGUAAGGCAGGAAUAGUGAAUUUCAUCUGCCUUUUGUCUUUACUAACAUUUCAUUGUGGCUAUUAAGGUUCCAAAGAGGAGUGGGGAAGAGGCUUAUGAUACACUGGUCAUGAAAAGUGGUCUGCAAGAGGAUGCUACUGCCCAGCUCUAAGUACCACACAUACAAGUCUAGCCUUCUGCAGAAACAGCUUGGAAACCAAAGCACAUUAACAUUCUAAAAAAGGACCUUAUUCUUAGAAUUAACCCAGUUGACAUUAAAGAUUGCAAAUUUAUUCUUGUAUUUGCUAAUGAUGCUAAAUUGCAACUGUUUGUAUGUGGCAAUACAUUAGAAUAUCAGGUAUUUCUUUCAAUGGAGAAACUUUUCCAACAUGG